UUUUUUGUUAUUAUUUUGUUUUAUUUAGGGGAAAAUGGCUCUACUGGCCUCAAAUAGCUGCUUUAUUAGAUGCAAUGAAGCAGGUGAUACAGAAGCAAAAAGUAAAACAGCAGGAGAAGAAGAAAUGAUAAAGAUUAGAUCCUGUGCUGAAAGAGAGACUAAGAAAAAAGAUGAUAUUCCAGAAGAAGACAAAGGAAAUGUUAAGCAGUGUGAAAUCAAUUAUGU